CAACCCUCAAGCUCUGCUUGGUAUUGGGCACCGUCCUUUGCGGGCGCGCCUCAAAGACCUCGGCGGUGGCGUCUUGCCUCAAGCGUAGUAGAACAUACAUCUCGCUUCGGAGCGCAGGGCGUCGCCCGCCGGACGAACCUUCUGAACUUAAGCAUAUCAAUAAGCGGAGGA
rnacentral:misc_RNA from 1 species